rnacentral:rRNA from 1 species
CCUACGGGCGGCAGCAGUGAGGAAUAUUGGUCAAUGGACGCAAGUCUGAACCAGCCAUGCCGCGUGCAGGAAGACGGCUCUAUGAGUUGUAAACUGCUUUUGUACGAGGGUAAACGCAGAUACGCGUAUCUGUCUGAAAGUAUCGUACGAAUAAGGAUCGGCUAACUCCGUGCCAGCAGCCGCGGUAAUACGGAGGAUUCAAGCGUUAUCCGGAUUUAUUGGGUUUAAAGGGUGCGUAGGCGGUCGGUUAAGUUAGAGGUGAAAUCCCGGGGCUCAACUUCGGAAUUGCCUCUGAUACUGUUCGGCUAGAGAGUAGGUGCGGUAGGCGGAAUGUAUGGUGUAGCGGUGAAAUGCUUAGAGAUCAUACAGAACACCGAUUGCGAAGGCAGCUUACCAAGCUACUUCUGACGUUGAGGCACGAAAGCGUGGGGAGCGAACAGGAUUAGAUACCCUUGUAGUC